ACUCCUACGGGAGGCAGCAGUGAGGAAUAUUGGUCAAUGGGCGCAAGCCUGAACCAGCCAUGCCGCGUGCAGGAAGACUGCCUUAUGGGUUGUAAACUGCUUUUAUAUGGGGAAGAAAACCCNCCUCUACGGUGAGUAGGCUGACGGUACCAUAAGAAUAAGCACCGGCUAACUCCGUGCCAGCAGCCGCGGUAAUACGGAGGGUGCAAGCGUUAUCCGGAAUCAUUGGGUUUAAAGGGUCCGCAGGCGGUCAAUUAAGUCAGAGGUGAAAUCCUAUAGCUUAACUAUAGAACUGCCUUUGAUACUGGUUGACUUGAGUUAUACGGAAGUAGGUAGAAUGUGUAGUGUAGCGGUGAAAUGCAUAGAUAUUACACAGAAUACCGAUUGCGAAGGCAGCCUACUACGUAUAUACUGACGCUCAUGGACGAAAGCGU
rnacentral:rRNA from 1 species